UACGUAGGGUGCGAGCGUUGUCCGGAAUUAUUGGGCGUAAAGAGCUCGUAGGCGUUUGUUGCGUCUAUCGUGAAAACCUGCGGCUUAACUGUGGGCUUGCGGUGGAUACGGGCAGACUUGAGUUCGGUAGGGGAGAGCUGGAAUUCCGAUGGUCGUAGCGGUGAAAUGCGCAGAUAUCAGGAAGAACACCCGUGGCGAAGGCGGCUCUCUGGGACGGUACUGACGCUGAGACGCGAAAGCGUGGGGAGCGAA
rnacentral:rRNA from 1 species